GUCGUAGGUAGUUUCGACUUCGCUACAAAAAAUCUAACAAAAACGGUACGCGUCGCGACCGAUGAGUAUCAUGCUUGGUAUUGUUACAAAGCUUAAGCUUAGGGCUAAGCAACUGUACAUAUUUUGAUUAAAAAAAGUACGUUGGAAGCGUUCCAGCAGUGUUCAAAGUUCGCCGAUGGUAGCAAAAAAAGAUGGUCGAAAAUGGGCCAUUAUAGACAACAUCUAAAAAAUCAGUUACUAGUGGUGGAUAGGGCUUG